UAAAAGUAGGAAUUGUCCCAGAGUUGAGGGAAAAACACAAAGAAAGGAAAUAAUCCAAAAAAGUUUGUACUGUUAUCUAUUACCACAUAAUAAAUUACCCCAAAACUUAGCUUCUUAAAAUGGCAGUAAGCAUUUAUCAUCUCACACAAUUUCUGUGGGUCAAGAAUUAUUUGGGAGAAGCUUAGUUGAGUGGUUCUGGCCCGGGGUCUCUCAUGAGUUUGCUGUUAAGAUGUUGGCCUGGACUCAGCCAUCUGAAGGCUGACCUGGGUUGACUCACCCACUUUCGAGACGGCCCACUCUCAUAGAUGGCAAAUUGGUCCUGGGUGUUGGCAGCAGGUCUCAGUUCCUUGCCAUAUGGGAGCUCCCUGGGGCUGCUCUAGUGUCCCUACCUGAUGGCAGCUGGCUUUCCCCAGAGCAAGUGAUCCAACAGAGAGCACUGACACAUGAAAACACCACUGUCUUUUAUGACCUAGUCCCAGAAGUCACUCUUUGUCUCUUCUGCAAUACCACACUGGUUAAACAGGUCAGCUCUAUUCACUGACAGAGGGAACAACAAGGGCAUGAACCCCAGGAGGCAAGGAUGACAGGAGCCAUCUUGAAGGCUGGCGACCACAGAUCCACACCUAACUCCAAACCACCAAAUUACUCGGAGUGUGUGUGGGCUGCCCACAGUGCGGUGAGCCCAUGUGACUAGACCCCGGACGAUGGACUAAGAGGGAAGAGGACGUGCCUAAGUUCUGGGCUGAGGCCUUAAGAACCCAUGCACUCUUCUCCUGUUACUUUUCCCUGCGGCAACAAGCAAGGAGUCCUCAUUCCAGGGAGUGUGACCGCAUCGUGGUGCUACUUCCCUUCCCUUGGCCUCGACUGCCAAGGAACCACAGGAGGAACUGGCUUGGGAAGUCCCCUGGCAUCAGAGUAAACUUUGUGUGAGCGAAAAAUAAACCUUUAUAUUAUUAGGCC
rnacentral:lncRNA from 1 species